AUGCAGGCCAUGAUCCGGGCCAUGGAGACGCUGAAGAUCCUCUACAAGUUGGAGCAGAACAAGGCCAAUGCGCUCCAGAUCCGAGAGGUGGACGUGGAGAAGGUGACCACCUUUGAGCAUCGGUACGUCAGCGCCAUCAAGACCCUGUGGGACGACCCCGGCAUCCACGAGUGCUACGACCGCAGGCGCGAGUACCAGCUCUCGGACUCGGCCAAGUACUGCGUGACCGACGUAGACUGCAUCGCCACCUCGAGCUACCUGCCCACCCAGCAGGACGUGCUGCGGGUCCGCGUGCCCACCACCGGCGUCUUUCGACCUGGAGAACAUCAUCUUCAGGAUGGCGGAUGUUGGGGGACAGCGGUCGGCGCAGAGG
rnacentral:lncRNA from 1 species